rnacentral:rRNA from 1 species
GACGAACGCUGGCGGCGUGCCUAAUACAUGCAAGUAGAACGCUGAAGAGAGGAGCUUGCUCUUCUUGGAUGAGUUGCGAACGGGUGAGUAACGCGUAGGUAACCUGCCUUGUAGCGGGGGAUAACUAUUGGAAACGAUAGCUAAUACCGCAUAACAAUGGAUGACACAUGUCAUUUAUUUGAAAGGGGCAAUUGCUCCACUACAAGAUGGACCUGCGUUGUAUUAGCUAGUAGGUGAGGUAACGGCUCACCUAGGCGACGAUACAUAGCCGACCUGAGAGGGUGAUCGGCCACACUGGGACUGAGACACGGCCCAGACUCCUACGGGAGGCAGCAGUAGGGAAUCUUCGGCAAUGGGGGCAACCCUGACCGAGCAACGCCGCGUGAGUGAAGAAGGGUUUCGGAUCGUAAAGCUCUGUUGUAAGUCAAGAACGAGUGUGAGAGUGGAAAGUUUACACUGUGACGGUAGCUUACCAGAAAGGGACGGCUAACUACGUG